rnacentral:sRNA from 1 species
GGCCUCGCCCCUGAGGUGUGGGAAGCCGAAGGUCCCGUUGAGUGUGGUUGGCCUUGACUCGGGCGUUGCACCGGCAUGAUCGCAUUAGCCUCACUGGUUAUGGGUAGCUGCUGCUGGGAGCGUGGUUACGGGCUGCAGAAGAUGUCAAUGUUACUUUUGAAGAUCAACAAAAGAUAAACAAAUUUGCACGG